GAUUUAGAAGGAUCACGAUAAAGUUAUUUGCUCUAACUAACGAACUUGAACUACUCGUUCUCAUAAAAAGCUGAAAUCCGGAAUGGUUAAAGAAUUCAAAUAUUUCAAAAUCUCUUAUUAGUCUAGCACAGUCCAGGGCUUAUUGUUGGAAUGCAUUUAAUAAUUCAAAAAUGCUUGAGACAGAUUCAAAUCAAAAUUUUUUUUAGCGUCAAACGUCAAAUGCAAAUUUAGGUUAUGUUUGAAUUUUAAGCUGACCCAGGCAUCUUUUUAAUAAGUCUUAAAAAAUAAAAGGCUUGUGACACAACUGCUAGUUUUCGUGCUACAUUAAGUUCAAGCUCAUCCGAAGAGGAAAAUAUUAUUGUCUGAAAACGAUAUAUAUAUAUUUCCUAAAAAUUUCCUAAAAGUAAAAACAAGGGUUUUCCAGUCAUAAUAUAAAACACAGACCUAGAAUAUUGAAUUAUUGUGGAAAACAAAAUGAGAUAGCAAACCAACUGAAAACUAACAAAUAUAAUUUUAGACAGUAUCGACCUUUAACUAUAGGAAUAACAAACAGCAAGAGACCGGACAAUGGAAAGGAUACAAAAAUGGUAUCAAGCCUGUGGAACAAACAUAACCAAACAAAAAAAAUGUACAAGACCCUAAGGCCCAUUUCGCACCAAGCCAGUUAGUCCAUUCGCAUCCACUCAAGGGCACAAACGCUUUUGAUUUAGAAAUAUUAACUUACCAUUAAAACAAAGAGAAUGUGUAAAUCUGGUUUCAGUCUAAGAACUUAAAAGAACAGAGAGAAAGAUAAUAAGAACUAUAACAGGUCCACACAUAACAAAGGAGAGCAAAAAAACGAAGAAAUAGAGAAAGAGCUCAUGAAGAAAAAUAUAAAAAGGUCUAAGUAAUGAAAAGUUGAAGAAAAGUGAUAUAGUAAUGUAUAUUAAAUAAUAUUUUAUAUAAAUAAAACAAUCAAUUUAGAAUU